rnacentral:lncRNA from 10 species
AUCACCCCCAAAAUAAACCCUAUAUCCAUUAGCUUUCACUCCCCAUCCUUCCCUUACCCCACUCCCUGAAAACCACUAUUUACGUCUCUAUGGAUUCACCUACUCUGGAUAUUUCAUAGAAAUGAAAUUAAAGUACUAAGCCAUUUCUAAAAAAAGGGCAAACAAAAAAAAGAGUAAACAAACUCUUCUGACAUUCCACACAUUACCCUUUGCUGUUAGGCAGUAAGAGAAGAAUAAGAGCAGGAGGGCAAACAUAUGAUGAGAACUUACAACAAAAGUGACCAUUCAUCGUCACGAAAUACCUUUAACCAACAUACAAAGAGCCCAUGGUACACGUGUGUAAACCAAAUAUCAAGCUCCUUAGAAAAAGUAUUGGCAACAAGAGCGAAACUCCGUCUCAAAAAAAAAAAAAAAAAAAAAGAAGUUGGGCAGAUGACAGAGGGAAAGAUAGGAAAAAUGGAAACUUUUCUCGAUGAGCGUGUGCAAGGAGACCUGAACCUAUUUUGGUCAACUGUUAUGCCACAAAAAAACGGGAGAUGC